CAGUAGCCGCGGUAAUACGUAGGUGGCAAGCGUUGUCCGGAAUUAUUGGGCGUAAAGGGCUCGCAGGCGGUUUCUUAAGUCUGAUGUGAAAGCCCCCGGCUCAACCGGGGAGGGUCAUUGGAAACUGGGAAACUUGAGCGCAGAAGAGGAGAGUGGAAUUCCACGUGUAGCGGUGAAAUGCGUAGAGAUGUGGAGGAACACCAGUGGCGAAGGCGACUCUCUGGUCUGUAACUGACGCUGAGGAGCGAAAGCGUGGGGAGCGAACAGGAUUAGAGACCCCUGUAGUCCCUGUCUCUUAUAC
rnacentral:rRNA from 1 species